CUAGUCACGGCGAGUGAAGACCAAACACAUCAAAUUUGAAAACCGGCUCUCGGGCCCGAGUUGUAAUUUGUAGAGCCAACCGCCCAUGCGGUGCCUUCCGAGUUCCCUGGAACGGGACGCCAUAGAGGGUGAGAGCCCCGUCUGGUUGGAUGCCAAAACUCUGUACAGUUCCUUCCACCCGGACAGUUGUUUGGGA
rnacentral:rRNA from 1 species